rnacentral:misc_RNA from 1 species
GAAAUGCGAUAAGUAGUGUGAAUUGCAGAAUUCAGUGAAUCAUCGAAUUUUUGAACGCAUCUUGCGCUUCUCGGUACCCAUUCCAAGAAGCAUGUCUGUUUGAGUGUCAUAAAAUUCUCAAAUUUUAUCUAAAAUUUUACAAGUUUUGGAUUUGAUUUGGAUUGUGGAAGUUUUUUUGUAGGCUUGAAAAAAGUCUGCUCUUCUGAAAUGUAUCAGCAAAAAAGUUCAAUUUGUUCUUUUUUUUGGUAUGAUAAUUAUCAUGUGCCAUGAAUAGACGAAUAUAUUUGUUGUGACUUUUUGCUUCUUAGCUGUCUUCUCAAUGUUGACAAAAUUUAUACAUAUUUGAAAAUGUGACCUCAAAUCAGAUAGGACUACCCGCUGAACUUAA